AUUGAACGCUGGCGGAAUGCUUUACACAUGCAAGUCGAACGGCAGCACGGACUUCGGUCUGGUGGCGAGUGGCGAACGGGUGAGUAAUGUAUCGGAACGUGCCCAGUCGUGGGGGAUAACGUAGUGAAAAUUACGCUAAUACCGCAUCCGAUCUAUGGAUGAAAGCGGGGGAUCGCAAGACCUCGCGCGAUUGGAGCGGCCGAUAUCAGAUGAGGUAGUUGGUGGGGUAAAGGCCCACCAAGCCAGCGAUCUGUAGCUGGUCUGAGAGGACGACCAGCCACACUGGAACUGAGACACGGUCCAGACUCCUACGGGAGGCAGCAGUGGGGAAUUUUGGACAAUGGGCGAAAGCCUGAUCCAGCCAUUCCGCGUGCAGGAUGAAGGCCCUCGGGUUGUAAACUGCUUUUGUACAGAACGAAAAGGUUUCUACUAAUACUAGGAGCUCAUGACGGUACUGUAAGAAUAAGCACCGGCUAACUACGUGCCAGCCGCCGCGGUAA
rnacentral:rRNA from 1 species